rnacentral:rRNA from 1 species
GUGGAUUAGAUACCCUGGUAGUCCACGCCGUAAACGAUGAGAACUAGAUGUCGGGAGGGUUUAGCCUCUCGGUGUCGCAGCUAACGCGUUAAGUUCUCCGCCUGGGGAGUACGCCGGCAACGGUAAAACUCAAAGGAAUUGACGGGGACCCGCACAAGCGGUGGAGCAUGUGGUUUAAUUCGAUGCAACGCGAAGAACCUUACCUGCCCUUGACAUUGACAGAAUCCUGUAGAGAUAUGGGAGUGCUUCGGCCUGGAAAACAGGUGCUGCAUGGUUGUCGCCAGCU